UCACGUUCUCAAGGGAAAAUGGAGAACUCAUCCCUGAGGCUAGUCUCAUGACUACUUGCAACCAUUUUUUAGGAUUAUUUUUGGAUUUAACACUCUUUUGAUUAACAGUACAUGUCAAACAAUUGAUGCUUUUUCUAAAUAGCUUAACUUCCUCGGAAUAUGAUGAUAAAGGAAAACAAUUCCUAUCAAUGCUCAAAACAUUCAGAGAGCAAAAGCGGAAAUUAACGUCCCUUUCACAAAAACCCUUACUACAUGCAACUUGCUUAGUUUUGUCAUUUACGUAUCAGCUGAUUCAAAUCCAAUUGUCAAAUGCACAUUUUAAGCAAAAAAACAAAACCAACAUCAAGGAAUAAGUCUGAAUGGAUAUUAAUAAAAUAAUUUACGCUAUCAUUGAGGCAUUGAAUAGAAGAAUCGAUAUUAUAACUCAUCCCUCUGUUUUAAAAGCACUUACAAAAAUAAAAUGGCUACAUGUGUAACAUCUUCAUUUUAAUUUCUACCUAUUAUUCUUUAGCAUCAUUUUAACGAUUGCAAAUGGAAAUGAAUCUGGAGAUGCCAUACAGCUUAUAUUAGCUCUACAACUGCCAUUGAUUUGCCUAGUGGGAGAUACAGAUGCACUUGAAUAAACACUAGUCGGAUCACACAAUUUACAUUAGCUAGAAACAGAAACAACCGAAGAUGUAAGGAAUUAAUUUCUUGUUGUAGAACACACUAUUUCAGCAAAUCCAAACCAAGAUAUCAUAAGUUCAAUAGUUGAAACAAUUGGCUUUUUACAGCUAAACAAAUUUUACAGCUAAACAAAUUUACAUGGUGGCUAAACAUGGUGGCUUCGUGAAUUCAAAACAAAUCUGUAACAUGAAUAAAUUCAGAUUUUUAAUUAUGAAUUCAACAAAGGAGUCAUAGAUGAGUAUAGCGUACCUUAAACAAAAAUCGACAAAAAAAUGAUCAAAUAAGGUCUAAACUUCAAAGCUGGAGCUCAACUACUAAACGCAGAAUCAGCAGCGAAAUCAUCAACAAUCAACAAAUGAACAGUAAUCCAGUUUUUGAAUUUUUGAAGAACAGAACCUCGGACGGAAUCUCUUGCCGGCGGUCAGAUCUGGCGGAACCAAACGGAGUUCAUGAAGGCUGCCGGAAUUCUAAGGGGUUCUAGUUUAAGAUGGAGGUGGUUCCAUUUAGGUUCUUGUGUAUGUGCUUUAGGUGAUGACGGGAUGAGGAGGAGGGUCGCUUCUCUUUGAAGAUAAAAGGGGCCAUAGAGAGCAGUGAGAUUGAAAGAAAAGAAGAAGAAGGGUCCUCCUUUGAUAUGCGCCGUUUCUCUAUAUUUCUCUAAGGGUCUCCCCAUCUAUCCUUAGGUCUAGCUAGGUUUUAAUUAAAAAAGGGAGUGGUUGGAUCAGGCGGGUCGGGUCGGUUUUUGGGCUUGGGUUUUGGGCAUGUGUUUUGGGCCUGAUUUGGGUACAAGUAUUAGCCCAAUUCAUAUUAAAACCCCUCUUUCAUUCCUUUUCCUUUGUUUUUCUUCUCUUCUUCUUUAAUUAAAAAUCCUAAAAUUAAAAUCCGAGAUUAUCUAAAAAUAUGAAAUUAAACUAACUAAACCAGUUAUAAAAAUUGUAAACAUUACUUAUUCUAAAUUAAAAAGAGAAAAAUCGAUAAAGUAAAAUUAAAAGACAAAAAAUGUAAAAAUGAGCUAUUUUUUGUGAUUUUCGAAUUUCUACAAAAAUAAAAUAACUACUAGUUAAUUCUAAAAUAUAAAAACAAAUCUUAAAUUCAAUGCAUGAUAUUUUUGUAUUUUUUCAUGAUUAAAAUAAAAAUUAAACAUGCACAAAAAUGCAAACAAUUAAUAAAAAUCCUAUAAAAUGGUAAAUAAUUGGAAAAAACCUAUUUUCUUUGAUUUUAUAGGAGAAAUUCAUAUAGGGCAAAAACCACGUGCUCACAGGCGUAUAAAAUUUUUAAUCAAUAUCAAAUCUAUCCACUUUUGUUAUCUCAUUGCUUAUGUUCUAUGUUUCUCUUCUCUAUCAUGUUGUGUGCACAUAUGUGGCAUGAGUUCACUUGGCUAGACUUCUUAUGAUGUUUAUCUGUUUUUGUCUCUUUAAUGAUGCCAAAAUGGGAAAAUUAAUGUGUGUAGUAGAUGAGCAAUAAGGAAGGCGUAAAGUCAUGGGGAACUACAAGUCACAGGGAACUACUUGUGAAACUUGUGUUCUCCUGUUACUUAAUCUGGUUCUCACUACUCUAAAUCCACUUUAUCAAUGUUAAGUUUGUCAUCAUCAAAAAGGAAAAUUAAUAGGUUUUAAAUGUCUUUGCCUUAUGCUUUGAUGAUCUAACAAACUUACUGUUAAGAACCAGAUAGGGAACCUGACACAUUUGGACUACGCUGCAAGAUUAACGGUCUCUAGCUAAAUGUGAACUGCUACAGCUUCAGGAGAUAGGAAACCAAACAAGGACCUGAUACCCUUGUGGUUCCCUCAUAGCAGUACAAAGUCAAUUGGACACAGCUGGAAGUGAUGUCACCGCCUACACUGUUUCUGCCUGCACUGCACUGUUUCCAGUGUCCACUUAUUCCUUGAGCAACUAAAGUGCUUACAUCAUUUCAAGUGAUGUCAUCAAGGUGUAUCAACAAUGAUUUUAUAUCAAAACAUCACUUGAACAUUUCUAUUUCGCAUUCAAGCUUUUUGUAAAACAGAGAAAUCAAUCCUCACGAGCUUGAAGAACAAAGUUAAACGCUACUACGGACCAGUUCCUAAAGUUAGUAUAUUGUUGUCGUUAGUUGAUUUGUAACUUUGUGAUUGUUCUUAUUGUAUCUCCUAAACUGCUUAGUCAGAAGCGUUGAUUAGGAAUCCUCUUGUAAAAUCUGUAAACUCUCUGAGUUUAUGUUGUGACUAGGUUAGUCAUAAGUUAAAGUCUUUGUCACUAGAGAGUAACAAAGUGCUUGUGGUGAGAGUAUCAUAAGUUAGUCAAAGUCUUUGUAACUAGAAUCACAAAGUGGCUUGUAGUGAGAGUGCCACAAGUUAGUUGAGUUGAAUCUUUUGUAAUAGAGUUAUUACAAAGUGGCUUGUAAUAGGUGUUUACAAGUUAGUGAAGUUGAAAGCCUACAAGGUGUAGGUCGUGGUUUUUGUCCCCUACAAAGUGGCUUGUUUUUGUCCCCUAAAGCAAAUACGCAUUUGCAACUUUGUGAGGGCCAGGGAAGUUCAACUAAAUGGCACGCCUCGGAUUCUAAGGAUUAAAACAAAAUUAAUUGAACUAGGGCCAUGCAAUUGUCUUUUUUGUUUGGCACAGUGCGCCUCAACUUAUUCUAAUCAAGAGACUUCUAUAUUAAAUUACGAGGGCCAUACACUGUAUGUGUCACCUAGUAUGGCUCACCUCCAAUUCAUAUAGGGAAUCUAAUUAAUUGAAGAGGAAGACUUAUCAAAGCUUUGGCCUAAGAAAUUGAACUAACUUUAAAUUAACAGAUUAAUCGGGAGAAUGGAUUCUUUUGGGCUCGAGCCACCAGCCCUAUAAAGAGAAGCAACAGAUUUCCAACUCAAACCCAAUCAUGAGCCCAAAUCCUCGGGAAAACUGGGCACCAGCAGGAGGCAGGACUCCAGAUCGAGUCCUUAAACAUGCAAGCAUCGGAUUAUUUAAAGCAGGCCGAGUGAAUCCGAUUCCCAAGUUUUAUAAAGCUAAUUCGAAGCCCACUAUGUCUUUACUUGACAAAUCGAUCCAUUUGGCCCUAAACGACAUUGUACAUAUGACUUAAUUCACAAUUACCUCAAACGAACUCAAUGCUUAAUCCACCCAAUUCAAAUGACCACAAGUUAAUUUAAAAAUAAACUAUGGCUUCUGUUUAUCAUGAAAUCAUAUUGGUAAUAUAAACGUGAAUUGACAAACUGAGCCAGCAUGAAAGCAAACUUGGUUUAAUUUGUGAUUCCUAAUGAUCCAUAUGCUUUCGACUCAAACUUACAAACAGACCUUUGCAUGUUCAACCAAGCCAAACUUUAUUUUCAAUCAAAUACAUAUACUUAAUUAUUAAGCAUCAACGGACAUGCACCAAUUAGAAUAUCAGGCCUAAGACUUCAGUUUCAGGAAUAUAUAAUCACCCUUUUCAAUCGAACACACCUCAACCCUUUAAAAACCCACAUGAUAACUUAAGAGUUGAAAGCAAUAGAGCUUAACCACAUGAAUGAAUACAUAUAUGCUAUUAGAUAUGGAUAGCAUAACCAACAGUCCACAUACACAAAAUGGUCUCAAAUGUUCUGAAUUACUUACACCUCAACAGACUAUUAGACCUCAUGUUUCCCAUUAAGACAGGAUGUAGCAUGGAUUUCCUAAGAAACAAUACGUUACUACUAUAUCAAAAAUGAAUAGGUAAGCUAAUUAUUCUUACACUACAAUACUAACUUCAGAAAUACUAAGGAAAUAACUAACAUUUAUGUUUAAGGGAACAAUAUUUAUUUAUAGAAUCUUCAGGCAAUUACAACAUUCACACUUGCAUAUCAUCUUUAAUAGAGUUAGAGAAUACCUGGAAAGCAAAAUAACAGACGGGGUGAGAGUAGUAGCAGUAAACAACACAGCAUAUGACCUCAGAUUCAAUCUCUUAAAACAGUGAAAUUAACCCAAGAUGAAACCAAUGAAACAGUGUUCAACCAGUAGAAAUUUUAAGCUAAAACUCUUUCCAAGACUCAAAUUCAGAUCACUUUAAACACCAGAAUCAGACACCAUUUCAGAAAUCAAAAACUCAAAAAUCAAAGAAAAUAUUCAAUGGAACAGUGAUUUAUUUUGGAAAUCCAGCCGCUUUUUGUUUUUUCUCUAUUUUUUAUCUCUUAAUCUCUGAAGUUCUUAUCUCCUAAACUCUUCCUUGAAUGGCAAGGAAAUGAGCCUUUAUAGGCAAGGCAAUAGGGCAACAAUAGAGAAAUCAGAUUUUCAUUUCAGCCCUUCCCUAAUUUUCAUUUUAGCUUAACUAACCUUAGUUAAUUAUCAGAUUUGCAAGACAGUCCCCCUUCCUAGCUUCUAGGAAGAUUCCUUUUCAGUUACACUAAAGAUUCCUCAAGCCAAAUUCCUAAACUAACCUCCACACCCUCGACAUUUAACAUUAAAACCAAUAGGGUCAAGCUGACCCAAAUACCCAGCCACCCUGGGUUUUACCAAACCAGUUCUUCCCUUUUUCCUUUGGGCCUCGGAUCAACAAGGCCCAAACCAAAAUCAAACUCAAAAGACUAAUGGGUUAAAUGAAAUUACCCCACCCCCCACAAACUCGGAAUUUACUUAAACAAGAGAGAAACAUAAUGAAAUAAAGACGACAGAACUAAUAAAAUUAAAACAAACAUGAAACAAUAACUCUCAAGUUUUAGGCAUGCAGGCAUAGCUGACUCAGAAUGAGGAAGAAAAUGAUAGAAAGCAGAAGAGAUGGAGCAAACAGGGCAAGACCUGGAACUGAACGACUAAGAGAAACAAAAGAAGGAUCUAAAAUUCCUAUUUGCAAGCGGACGGGCUUGAAAAACCUCAAACGGACUUUGGUUUGACCCAAAAUCGGCAUCAAUCGAGUGUUCUCGUCGAGAACAAGUGACCAAUGACAAUUUCAGCCCUAAUCGUUCUCUGAAGCUCGAAGAUUUGAGGAGAUUUUAUCUUUCUUCUUUACCUUCUUUAAGAUA
rnacentral:lncRNA from 1 species